GAUGAAGAACGCAGCGAAAUGGGAUAAGUAAUGUGAAUUGCAGAAUUCAGUGAAUCAUCGAAUCUUUGAACGCACAUUGCGCCCGCCAGUAUUCUGGCGGGCAUGCCUGUUCGAGCGUCAUUUCAACCAUCAAGCCCCAGGCUUGUGUUGGGGACCUGCGGCUGCCGCAGGCCCUGAAAACCAGUGGCGGGCUCGCUGUCACACCGGGCGUAGUAGAUUUUAUCUCGCUCAGGGCGUGCUGCGGGUUCCGGCCGUUAAAAAGCCUUUUUUACCCAAGGUUGACCUCGGAUCAGGCAGGAAGACCCGCUGAACUUAAGCAUAUCAAUAAGCGGAGGA
rnacentral:misc_RNA from 1 species